rnacentral:rRNA from 1 species
CAGCACCUCAAGUGGUCAGGAUGAUUAUUGGGCCUAAAGCAUCCGUAGCCGGCGCUGUAAGUUUUCGGUUAAAUCUGUAUGCUCAACAUACAGGCUGCCGGGAAUACUGCAGAGCUAGGGAGUGGGAGAGGUAGACGGUACUCGGUAGGAAGGGGUAAAAUCCUUUGAUCUAUUGAUGACCACCUGUGGCGAAGGCGGUCUACCAGAACACGUCCGACGGUGAGGGAUGAAAGCUGGGGGAGCAAACCGGAUUAGAUACCCGAGAAGUCC